UAGUUUUAGAAAUCGUUUAAAAAUGUUGUAUUAAACUAAAAACAAAUUAACAAAAAAAACGAAUCCGAUCAAAUGGAACAUAUAGGUAAAAUAUCAGUCCAAGGCUAGACCCUCAGAGGGUGUCCAGACUGAGUCCAAGGAAAAAAUCUCACAUAGCAUGGCACACAUAAAACAUAAUACAUAUAUCACACCAACUUGCAACACGGGGAGGAGUGGGUUUGAGGAGGCCGGCUGUCGCUAUAUAGUGCUGCUCAGCCAUCCACAGCCCCAGAGGAAUUAAGCGGUGGUGAAGGGGUUGAUUCGAGGGUGGGGUGUUGUGUGUGCAUAUACUGUAUGCCCAAUUAACUUGGCAGGGAUGAUGAAAUGUUUUUUAUGGACUGAGUUCGAUCUCAAAGUUCGACACCAGGUGUUGACAAAAAGGAAGGUCAAAAGCGUCCAUCUUUGAGGAGUCCUCGGAGAAGUUCUUCAGAAUAAUCAUUAGCUGACAGCUCGAGUGCUAAUUUCUAGCUGGCGACUAGUACGCUAAUCGCUAGCUGGAAUUGUGAGCAGGUAACUAGUGCUGAUUGAUUGAUUGAUUGAGACCUUUUAGUACACAGUACAGUACAUAUUUUGUACAAUUGACCACUAAAUGGUAACACCCGAAUCAGUUUUUCAACUUGUUUAAGUCGGGGUCCAAGCUGGCAACUAGCACAGUAAUCCCGAGCUGGCAACUACAGCGCUAAUUGCUACCUGGCAACCUGUGCGGUAAAUGGCUAGCUAGCGACUAGAGCGCUAAUCGCUUGCUGGCAAUUAGAGUGCUAGUUCGGGCUAGGUUAGUUUUUGCUGAAAGUCUGAAGAAUGACAUCCAUUGCUUUUGUCCUCUCCAAGGUUCUCAUAGUCAUCAUUGUCACCGACGUCCCACUGGGUCAUUUUUGUCACCGAUGUCCCACUGGGUGUGAGUUUUCCUUGCCCUUAUGUGGGCCUACCGAGGUUGUCGUAGUGGUUUGUGCAGCCCUUUGAGACACUAGUGAUUUAGGGCUAUAUAAGUAAACAUUGAUUGAUUGAUUGAAUGCACAACCGACCUGAUGAAUCUGAAAGAGGAGACGAUGCGGGUAUCAUCUUGCUCACAGAUGCCACCCGGUGGUUGUUUGAACACACUGCAGCUACUCCCGGAGAGGAUAAAACAAGUGACAACACAACUCUUCCUCCAAAUGGCAGCUUGGGCACUGAUCGCUUGCUGUCUUAAAUGCUGACACGAACACAAUGUGGGGUUAAAAACUCAGAAGUGUCAGUCAAGUGUCAAUCCAUGCCCUACAUCAGUGGUUCUCAACCUUUCUUCAGUGAUGUACCCCCUGUGAACAUUUUUUUAAUUCAAGUACCCCCUAAUCAGAGCAAAGCAUUUUUGGUUGAAAAACAGAGAUAAAGAAGUAAAAUACAGCACUAUGUCAUCAGUUUCUGAUUUAUUAAAUUGUAUAACAGUGCAAAAUAUUUUUCAUUUGUAGUGGUCUUUCUUGAACUAUUUAGAAAGAAAGAUAAAAAAUACCAAAAAACUUGUUGAAAAAUAAACAAGUGAUUCAAUUAUAAAUAAAGAUUUCUACACAUAGAAGUAAUCAUCAACUUAAAGUGCCCUCUUUGGGGAUUGUAAUAGAGAUCCAUCUGGAUUCAUCAACUUAAUUCUAAACAUUUCUUCACAAAAAAUAAAUCUUUAACAUCAAUAUUUAUGGAACAUGUCCACAAAAAAAUCUAGCUGUCAACACUGAAGAUCGCAUUGUUGUAUUUUUCUUUUCACAGCUUAUGAACUUACAUUCAUAUUUAAGUAUUAUUCAAUAAAUAUAUUUAUAAAGGAUUUUUGAAUUGUUGCUAUUUUUAGAAUAUUUUAAAAAAAAUCUCACGUACCCCUUGGCAUACCUUCAAGUACCCCCAUUUUAGAACCACUGUCCCACAUGGUGGAAAAUGACACGGUCAAAACCAAUGAGAACUACAAUUCCCAGAAUGCCAAGGGAAAAUGACCGCCAAAUUACUGAUUGAAGGCACCUGACAAGGAAUGGCGGUUCAGUCGGACUCGUUCGGCAAACAAGAAGAGCAAGCGGCCACAAGCACAAUAUCUACUCUGCAACUUUCCCUAAACACACCAAUGUGGCCUUCUAGGGAUUUUUUUCCUGUGAGAUGUUCCUUCCUACCUCACACACGCUGGAGACAAUGUGAAGCUUGUGUUGGAUGGAGGCCAUCCCGUCGUUGAAGGCCGACUUGAAGAUGAUGCAGCGGGCCCUGCCAGCGAAGUCUGGAAUCUGCGAAAGCUCGUACAGGAACCUGAAUCGUAUAAACAAGGGAAGCCAUCGUCCAUCCGUCUUGCAAGUGCUAACACAAUCAAUCACACUUCUGUUGGGUUUCAUACUCACUGUUCAGAUGGAGGCUUGAGAUGAGGAUGCCCACAGUCUGAGAACGCUUACCAUCCAGCAGCUUGAUGAUCUGCGGGGGCACUUCCGCCUUAUUGAGUUGGUGAAAAGUCACGUGGUCUUCAAUUACCAGCAGUCGGACUGCAGGACAGAAGUCAAAGGACGCUACUAUCUGCCUCAUUUCUUUGUUCGUCACAGGUUAGUACUGUAUCAAAACAUUAAUGAUUUCAUGUGUUUAUUGUAAAGCACAAGCAGGUACUGGUGAAAAGUUUGAUGAGCAGGACAUUCAAUUUGUGUACUUUUGAGGUGCCUAAACUUGUCAUUUUGCUAUAGGAACCAGCUUAAUUGCUACGUUGUCGGUAUAGCUCAGUGAAAGUAAUGUGAUUUGUCUAAAAGGCUCAAACUUAAUUUACUUUUGGCUCCCUGAACAUGAUAAAAGUCUGUUAUGCGUGCACAUUUUUUUAAUGGUAUCUUAAUGUGUUAAAAUACUAACUGACAUUUUGGGAUUUCCUAUUCCAUUGCAUUGUACUUAA